UCGUGCUAGACGGGGAGCUAGCGGUGCCCUGUACCCGCAAUCCGCUACAGCGGGGUUGAACUCCUGCCCAAGGUUGGACCUUGUGGGACUGCUAUUGCUAAGCGACGUCGAAGAUCGGGUCUUGCGCGGCGGAAACCUAUGAACCCCGUCAGGGUCGGAAGACAGCAGCGGUAAGUGGGCGAUUCCGGGUGCCGCAGGUUUACCUGGUCGGAGUUGGCUGGCGAAAGCAAGCCGGAAGAUCCACAUCGACGGUGGGUGCACGA
rnacentral:SRP_RNA from 1 species